rnacentral:lncRNA from 1 species
AAAGUCUACUAACCUUUAAAAAAAAAACAUAAAGUUCUGUUCAGUUGGAAUGUACAGAUAGUACACCUACCGAACAAACUUGUUUAUAUAGUACCGGAGAAAGUAUCCCAUUAAUCAAAUAAAGUAAUAAAUGUCGGUACUUAACUUUUGCAACUUUGAAGUAACCGUUGAAUUACCCGUAUUUUUACUCGUAACCUCCCCAAUACACUUAAAAGUAACAUGUGUAAUGGUGUUUACGUAACAUGGUCAUUCAGUAAUGCAGUGUUUA